GAUGAACGCUGGCGGCGUGCCUAAUACAUGCAAGUAGAACGCUGAAGGAAGGAGCUUGCUCUUUCCGGAUGAGUUGCGAACGGGUGAGUAACGCGUAGGUAACCUGCCUGGUAGCGGGGGAUAACUAUUGGAAACGAUAGCUAAUACCGCAUAACAGUAGAUGUUGCAUGAUAUCUACUUAAAAGGUGCAAUUGCACCACUACCAGAUGGACCUGCGUUGUAUUAGCUAGUUGGUGAGGUAACGGCUCACCAAGGCGACGAUACAUAGCCGACCUGAGAGGGUGAGCGGCCACACUGGGACGGAGACACGGCCCAGACUCCUACGGGAGGCAGCAGUAGGGAAUCUUCGGCAAUGGACGGAAGUCUGACCGAGCAACGCCGCGUGAGUGAAGAAGGUUUUCGGAUCGUAAAGCUCUGUUGUAAGAGAAGAACGAGUGUGAGAGUGGAAAGUUCACACUGUGACGGUAUCUGACCAGAAAGGGACGGCUAACUACGUG
rnacentral:rRNA from 1 species